UGUGCUAAGGUAGCAUAAUCAUUUACCUUUUAAUUAAAGGUCUGUAUGAAAGGUUUAACAUUUUAAUUUCUUUCUUGUAAAAAAUCUUCUAAACUAUACUAAAUAUAAAAAUAUAUUUAUUCAUAAAUUAGACGACAAGACCCUAUUGAACUUUACUUAAGUUUAGCUGGGGUAGCUAAUUAAUAAAUAUUUUAAUUUCUAAAAUCCAAUAAAGAACCGAUUUAAAUCGAUUUAUGAAAUAAGUUACCAUAGGGAUAACAGAGUAAUUCUUUUUUAAAGUUCGUAUAAAAAAAAGAGAUUGCGACCUCGAUGUUGAAUUAUUGUUUCUUAUACGCAAUAGUAAAUAAUGUAAGUCUGUUCGACUUUUAAAACAUUACAUGAUUUGAGUUCAAAUCGGCGUAAGCCAGAUUGGUUUCUAUCUAUUUAAAAAAUUGUUUAGUACGAAAGGACCAACAAAUUUAUUUUCAAU
rnacentral:rRNA from 1 species